GUGCCAGCCGCCGCGGUAAUACCGGCAGCCCGAGUGAUGGCCGAUAUUAUUGGGCCUAAAGCGUCCGUAGCUGGCCGACCAAGUCUCCCGGGAAAUCCACUCGCUUAACGAGUGGGCGUCCGGCGGAAACUGUGCGGCUUGGGACCGGAAGAUCCAAGGGGUACGUCCGGGGUAGGAGUGAAAUCCCGUAAUCCUGGACGGACCACCGAUGGCGAAAGCACCUUGGAAGGACGGAUCCGACAGUGAGGGACGAAAGCUAGGGUCUCGAACCGGAUUAGAAACCCCGGUAGUCC
rnacentral:rRNA from 1 species